AUAUUUUGUCACACAAGGUCUGCUCAGCGUUCCUUCUCUAUCAUCACUGGAAAAAAUCUAUCAGAGGAAUUAGGAUGUCAGAUCUUAAAAGACAAGGAAAAAAGUAAUUCUAAGAGUAACAACUUGCAAACAUCAUUAGCCCCUGAAGUACUUUGUCUUUUCUCCUCAGUUGUUUUGCCCACUUCCACUUGUUGAACCCACAGCCUCCCUCCUCCAGCAGUGUGCUUGCUGCUGCUAAGUCACUCUUACUCUCUCUCAAUUCUUUGUCCCCAUGGGGUGUUUGCUUCCUGAAACUCACUUCCUUCCGAGAAAGCAAGCAUCCUGUCAGGGCUGCAGACUCCAGCAGAGAUGUGGCCACAUUUACAUGGCUGUUCUUUGUUUCUCUUGCCAACCAAGAGUCACAGAUGAUCUUAAUAGAACAACCCAUAUCUGCAUUUUGGGCUGAACUUCCCUUUCUCUGCUUCAUCUAAGUUCCCACUUUCAACUUCUCUACAAACUUAUAUAAUCUAGCGUCAGCCUCCCCUUUCAAGUUCUCUACAAGCCCGCAGCAGUUCCCCCCGCCGCCCUGCCACCCAUUUCUCCCACUGAAGUAUAUACUGGGAAAUGGGUGGCAUUCCCAUCUGUCCUGAAUCAGAGUUGUGAGCACCUCAUACCCAACUCUUUGCCUCACUUUUGCUCCCAAAAAUGCUUCUCUAAAAAGGAUGUGACCUGAGAAGUGAGGUAAGCUACCUUGCCUUCUACCUCUUCAAUUUCAGUCCUCAGAGCGUCACCUGAUGGACACACACCAGGUUGUGGACUUACUCCCUGUGCUCUGGUCCCUUGUAGAAGUUUCAUCUUCAAACUUACACAGGGAUGUCUCCAAUGCCCCCACUCUCUCAGUAUAGUAAUUCCUAAUGUAUAUUUUCCCCAAAUAAAGUCAUUUAAGGAGAUCAAGGGCUUCCCUUGUGGCUCAGCUGGUAAAGAAUCUGCCUGCAAUGUGGGAGACCUGGUUUCGAUUCCUGGGUUGGGAGCAUCCCCUGGAGAAGGGAAAGGCUACCCACUCCAAUAUUCUGGAGAAUUGGACCGUAUAGUCCAAUUGGAGACCAAUUUGAGACCCCAAUGGGGUCUCAAAGAGUUGGACCCUGCUGAAUGACUUUCACUUGACUUGAAUGGCUAGACCAGUGAAGCUAAGCUCUGCAUGCCAGAUUGGUGAGGGAUACACUGAGGAUACACUUCAGUUCAGUUCAGUUCAGUGGCUCAAUCAUGUCUGACUCUUUGCGACCCCAUGGUCUGCAGCACGCCAGGCUUCCCUGUCCAUCACCAACUCCCAGAGCCUACUCAAACUCAUGUCCAUUGAGUCAGUGAUACCAUCCACCCAUCUCAUCCUCUGUCAUCCCCUUCUCUUCCUGCCUUCAAUCUUGCCCAGCAUCAGAGUCUUUUCCGGUGAGUGAGUUCUUCGCAUCAUGUGGCCAAAGUAUUGGAGCUUCAGCUUCCGCAUCAGUCCUUCUGUCAGUUUUAUAUUCAGUUGCCUACACCUGAAAACAUCACCUAGUCUUGGCAGAGGCAGUUCUCUGCAGGCUCAGAUGAACUUCCAGUGAGGGAUGCAGCUGUGACCUGU
ensembl:lncRNA